AUUGAACGCUGGCGGCAGGCCUAACACAUGCAAGUCGAGCGGAGCAGCGGACGGGUGAGUAAUGGCUAGGUAUCUGCCUGGUAGUGGGGGAGAACGAUCGGAAACGGGCGCUAAUACCGCAUACUAUCAGAUGAGCCUAGGCCCGAUUAGGUUGUUGGUGGGGUAAUGGCAUACCAGGGCGAUGAUUCUUAACUGGUCCGAGAGGACGAUCAGUAACACUGGAACGGAGACACGGUCCAGACUCCUACGGGAGGCAGCAGUGGGGAAUAUUGGACAAUGGGCGAAAGCCUGAUCCAGCCAUGCCGCGUGUGUGAAGAAGGUCUUCGGAUUGUAAAGCACUUUAAGUUGGGAGGCGUUACCAACAGAAUAAGCACCGGCUAACUUCGUGCCAGCAGCCGCGGUAAUAC
rnacentral:rRNA from 1 species